UCACUUCAGGAGUGCAUAUAUUAAAAUUGGAAUGAAAUAAGAGAAGAUUAGCACGGCCCUGUGCAAAGAUGAUAUGAUAUUAACCUCAAUCGUUUAUU
ensembl:snRNA U6 U6 spliceosomal RNA